UACAGAGGGGCAAGCGUUGUUCGGAAUUACUGGGCGUAAAGGGCGCGUAGGCGGCCUUCUAAGUCGAACGUGAAAUCCCCGGGCUCAACCCGGGAACUGCGUCCGAUACUGGAAGGCUUGAAUCCGGGAGAGGGAUGCGGAAUUCCAGGUGUAGCGGUGAAAUGCGUAGAUAUCUGGAGGAACACCGGUGGCGAAGGCGGCAUCCUGGACCGGCAUUGACGCUGAGGCACGAAAGCCAGGGGAGCAAACGGG
rnacentral:rRNA from 1 species